GACGAACGCUGGCGGCGUGCCUAACACAUGCAAGUGGAGCGACGAACCAGGCUUCGGCCUGCGGCAAAGCCGCGAACGGGUGAGUAACACGUGGGUAACCUGCCCUGAUGAUUGGGACAACCCGAGGAAACUCGGGCUAAUACCAAAUGUGCCCUUCGGCCAUAAGGCCGCCGGGGAAAGGAAGCUUCGGCCUCCGCAUCUGGAUGGGCCCGCGGCCCAUUAGCUUGUUGGUGAGGUAACGGCNCACCAAGGCGACGAUGGGUAGCUGGUCUGAGAGGACGAUCAGCCACACUGGGACUGAGACACGGCCCAGACUCCUAC
rnacentral:rRNA from 1 species